CUGCGCAUCCCAUGCGGGCAGCAGCACACAGGAGACCACAGGCUAAGCCUGAACCACAGGCAGACUCACCAGGCACGCCCCAUGGCCUGUGCUCAUGCCCUCAGGUGGUGACGAAAGGACCUGGGGCCGCCCAGGAGGACUGGACGCUGAGGAGCAGUGGGCGUCCAGUGUAAGAGACUUGUGCACGCGGGGACAGCAGGAGAGGUGGGCUGGCCAGGAUCAGGAGGCAGCUGCCUCAGCAGAGAGGAAGAGGGUCAGCAGAAGAUCUCUUCACCCUCUGCUGAUACUUCUGACGCGGGACCAUCUGGAAAUGUGAAAACCAAGAAUGAAAAAAAUUCAGAAAAACUGCUCCUUUCAUUGAACUUCCUCCCCAUCCCAAAGUCUUCUGUAAUGCAAACAGGCGACUGGGGCUUAUGGGCAAUUAACUCUUCUGCGCACCGGGGUUUCUGAACAAAUUUGGUUAAUAAGGUUCUUAAGUGAUAUCCUUCACUGCCUAAUGCUCCCUUUAACUUUUAAAUAAUCACUAGAAUUUAUGAAGAGGCCAGGAAAAUGUACUUUUUCUUUAACCUCCCACACAGAAAGGAGAGAUCAAUCCUAAAGAGAAGGAUUCAGGGGAAAAAGUGGUACAUGAACAGGGAGGCAUUUAGUGGAAUUCAGCCGCAGGCUCUGUGGCCGCUGGCACAUUAGUUAGCCUCUGUGAGCCUCAGUUUCCUCACUUCUCUUGGGGUUAGCAGUGCCAACUUCAUACAGUCAUUUGAGGGUUAAAUCACCAAAUGCUAGCUGUUACCAAUGACUACUCUAGGCCCAGAAAGGCAAGGAGGACUUGAAUUACUUCAUUGAGGGGUGAGCUCCAGUUCCUCGAUCGGAUAAUGCCUUGAAAAUGAAACCCAUGCUCUCUGCUUCUGCACACGUGCCACACAGAGUGGGUUCUUAAUGUUCGCUGCAUGAGUGCUCUUAGCAAGCGGAGCUGGUGAAAAGGAUGGCAGUUUGGCUUUUGAGCAUCUGAACUGUCCCCUUUUCAACCCCGCCCCAUGCCACUAAAAUCUACCCUCUCUCAGAAUGCACAGACACUAUGG
rnacentral:lncRNA from 10 species